rnacentral:lncRNA from 1 species
UGAUCCAAUCCGAGGGGUGUGUGACAUGACUUUCAUGUUGGGUGGUGCCCUUGAGGAAGCUUUCUCUUGCAGAAGGCCUGCCACCCAGGCUCUACAACGGCUGAGUUCUAACAUCUGUUCACCUGUGCCUUGGCCAUAUUGGAUGACAGUCUGCGAGGACAAUUCUGUCAAUGUCUCCUUCCUUUUGAAGUCUAGGGCCGAGCGCGGGAGAGAGGACCCGAGAGCUGAGCGGCUGGUUUGGCCCCGGUCGGCUGCCUCCCCACUGCCCGAGUCCCCACCCGGCACCGCACCGACACCCUGCGCCAGCCUCCGUCCCAGACAAGGGCCCCCAACACCAGCAUGGACUGCUGCACCCUUCUUCCAGACCAUCUCCUCUCUUCUGUUUGAGUACAUCCUGAGGAGCAGUGCAAAAUGGAGAGGCAAUGGGAAAACAGUCUCUGGCCUCUAGCCCUGGGUGGAGGGAGGCUGCGUCGCUGAGGGGUAAGCCCCAUCUUCACCCUAACUCCA